rnacentral:lncRNA from 1 species
UUACAUGAAAGAUCAAUCUAGUAGGCCAAACCAAACUGAUAAUUCGAAGAGACUUGCAAAGAUAACCAAUCAUACAUAAAAGAAUUCAGAGAAGAUUCAAAUAUUGUUCAUAGAUAAACUUGAUCAUAAACCCACAAUUCAUCGUUCUCAACAAACACACCAAAAAAGAAGAUUACAUUGAAUAGAUCUCCACAAGAGAGGGGGAGAACAUUGUAUUGAGAUCCAUAAAGAGAGAAGAAGCCAUCUAGCUAAUAACAAUGGAUCCGAAGGUCUGAGGUAAACUACUCACACAUCAUCGGAGAGGCUAUGGUGUUGAUGUAGAAGCCCUCCGUGAUCGAUGCCCCCUCCGGCGGAGCUCCGGAAAAGGCCCCAAGAUGGUAUCUCACGGGUACAGAAGGUUGCGGCGGUGGAAUUAGGUUUUUGGCUCCGUAUCUGGUAGUUUGUGGGUACGUAGGUAUAUAUAGGAAGAAGAAGUACGUCGGUGGAGCAACAUGGGGCCCACGAGGGUGGGGGCGCGCCCAGGGGGGUAGGCGCGCCCCCUACCUUGUGCCUUCCUGGUUGAUGUCUUGAUGUAGGGUCCAAGUCCUCUGGAUCACGUUCGUUCCAAAAAUCACGUUCCCGAAGGUUUCAUUCCGUUUGGACUCCGUUUGAUAUUCUUUUUCUGUGAAACUCUGAAAUAGGCAAAAAACAACAAUUCAGGGUUGGGCCACCAGUUAAUAUGUUAGUCCCAAAAAUAAUAUAAAAGUGUAUAAUAAAGCCCAUUAAUGUCCAAAACAGAAUAUAAUAUAGCAUGGAAAAUCAAAAUUUAUAGAUACGUUGGAGACGUAUCAAGCAUCCCCAAGCUUAAUUCCUGCUCGUCCUCGAGUAGGUAAAUGAUAAAAAUAGAAUUUUUGAUGUGGAAUGCUACUUAGCAUAAUUUCAAUGUAAUUCUCUUAAUUGUGGUAUGAAUAUUCAGAUCCGAAAUAUUCAAGACAAAAGUUUAAUAUUGACAUAAAAAUAAUAAUACUUCAAGCAUACUAACUAAGCAAUUAUGUCUUCUCAAAAUAACAUGGCCAAAGAAAGUUAUCCCUACAAAAUCAUAUAGUCUAGCUAUGCUCUAUCUUCACCACACAAAGUAUUUAAAUCAUGCACAACCCCGAUGACAAGCCAAGCAAUUUUUUCAUACUUUUGAUGUUGGCAAACUUUUUCAAUCUUCACGCAAUACAUGAGCGUGAGCCAUGGACAUAGCACUAUAUGUGGAAUAGAAUGGUGGUUGUGGAGAAGACAAAAAAAGAGAAGAUAGUCUCACAUCAACUAGGCGUAUCAACGGGCUAUGGAGAUGCCCAUUAAUAGAUAUCAAUGUGAGUGAGUAGGGAUUGCCAUGCAACGGAUGCACUAGAGCUACAAGUAUAUGAAAGCUCAACAAAAGAAACUAAGUGGGUGUGCAUCCAACUCGCUUGCUCACGAAGACCUAGAGCAUUUUGAGGAAGCCCAUCAUUGGAAUAUACAAGCCAAGUUCUAUAAUGAAAAUUUCCCACUAGUAUAUGAAAGUGAUAUCAUAGGAGACUCUCUAUCAUGAAGAUCAUGGUGCUACUUUGAAGCACAAGUGUGGUAAAAGUAUAGUAACAUUGUCCCUUCUCUCUUUUUCUCUCAUCAUUUUUUUAUUUGGGCCUUUUCUCUUUUUUUUAUGGCCUCUUUUUUUUAGUCCAGAGUCUCAUCCCGACUUGUGGGGGAAUCAUAGUUUCCAUCAUCCUUUCCUUACUUGGGACAAUGCUCUAAAAAAUAAUGAUCAUCACACUUUUAUUUACUUACAACUCAACAAUUACAACUCAAUACUUAGAACAAAAUAUGACUCUAUGUGAAUGCCUCCGACGGUGUACCAGGAUAUGCAAUGCAUCAAGAGUGACAUGUAUGAAAGAAUUAUGAACGGUGGCUUUGCCACAAAUACGAUGUCAACUACAUGAUCAUGCGAAGCAAUAUGACAAUGGUGGAGCGUGUCAUAGUAAACGAAACGGUGGUAAGUUGCAUGGCAAUAUAUCUCGGAAUGGCUAUGGAAAUGCCAUGAUAGGUAGUUAUGGUGGCUGUUUUGAGGAAGGUAUAUGGUGGGUGUAUGGUACCGGCGAAAAGGUGCGCGGCAUUAGAGAGGCUAGCAAUGGUGGAAGAAAGAAAAGUGUAUAAUCCAUUGACUCAACAUUAGUCAUAAAGAACUCAUAUACUUAUUGCAAAAAUCUACAAGUUAUCAAAGCAAAGUAUUACGCGCAUGCUCCUAGGGGGAUAGAUUGGUAGGAAAAGACCAUCGCUCGUCCCCGACCGCCACUCAUAAGGAAGACAACCAAUAAAUAAAUCAUGCUCCGACUUCAUCACAUAACGGUUCACCAUACGUGCAUGCUACGGGAAUCACAAACUUUAACACAAGUAUUUCUCAAAUUAACAACUACUCAACUAGCAUAACUCUAAUAUCAUCAUCUUCAUAUCUCAAAAGAAUUAUCAAGCAUCUAACUUCUCAUAGUAUUCAACACACUCAUAAGAAUUUUUUUAUUAAUCUUAAAUGCAUAUCAUAAUUAAAGCAAAUUACCAUGCUGUUUUGUAGGACUCUCACAAUAAUCAAAGUGAAGCAUGAGAGAACAAUAGUUUCUAUAAAACAAAUCCACCAAAGUGCUCUAAAAGAUAUAAGUGAAGCACUAGAGCAAAAACUAUAUAACUCAAAAGAUAUAAUGAAAAACACAUAGAGUAUUCUAACAAUUUCCGAAUUAUGUGUGUCUCUCUCAAAAGGUGUGUACAGCAAGGAUGAUUGUGGCAAACUAACAAAUAAAGACUCAAAUAAUACAAGACGCUGCAAGCAAAACACAUAUCAUGUGGUGAAUAAAAAUAUAGCUCCAAGUAAAGUUACCGAUAGAAGUAGACGAAAGAGGGGAUGCCUUCCGGGGCAUCCCCAAGCUUUGGCUUUUAGGUGUCCUUAGAUUAUCUUGGGGUGCCAUGGUCAUCCCCAAGCUUAGGAUCUUUCCACUCCUUGUUCCAUAAUCCAUCAAAUCUUUUACCCAAAACUUGAAAACUUCACAACACAAAACUUAAGAAAAUCUCGUGAGCUCCGUUAGCGAAAGAAAACAAAACACCACUUCAAGGUAAUGUAAUGAACUCAUUCUUUAUUUAAAUUGGUGUUAAACCUACUGUAUUACAACUUCUCUAUGGUUUAUAAACUAUUUUACUAGCCAUAGAUUCAUCAAAAUAAGCAAACAACACACAAAAAACAGAAUCUGUCAAAAACAGAACAGCCUAUAGUAAUCAGUAACAAACGCAAACUUCUGGAACUCCAAAAAUUCAGAAAAAAUAGGACAACCUAGAAAGUUUGUUUAUUGAUCAUCAGCAAUUGGAUUUAAUAUUUUAUCACGUUCUGGUGAUUUUUAACAAUUAUUUUCGUGAACAGAAAGUUUCUGGAAUUUUCAGCAAGAUCAAAUAACUAUCAUCCAAGAAGAUCCUAUAGGUUUAACUUGGCACACACUAAUUAAAACAUAAAAACACAUCUAACCAGAGGCUAGAUCAAAUAUUUAUUCCUAAACGGAAGCAAAAAGCAAAAAACUAAAAAAAAAAUUGGGUUGCCUCCCAACAAGCGCUAUCGUUUAACGCCCCUAGCUAGGCAUAAUAGCAAAGAUAGAUCUAGGUAUUGCCAUCUUUGGUAGGCAAUUCAUAAGUGGCUCUCAUAAUAGAUUCAUAAGUUAAUUUUAUUUUCUUUCUAGGGAAGUGUUCCAUGCCUUUCCUUAACGGAAACUGGAAUCUAAUAUUCCCUUCCUUCAUAUCAAUAAUUUCACCAAUCGUUUUAAGGAAAGGUCUACCAAGAAUAAUAGGACAUGAAGGAUUGCAAUCUAUAUCAAGAACAAUAAAAUCUACGGGCACAUAAUUCCUAUUUGCAAUAAUAAGAACAUCAUUAAUUCUUCCCAUAGGUUUUUUAAUGGUGGAAUUCGCAAGGUGCAAGUUUAAAGAGCAAUCAUCAAAAUCACGGAAACCUAGCAAAUCACACAAAGUUUUUGGAACCGUGGAAACACUAGCACCCAAAUCACACAAAGCAUAGCAUUCAUGAUCUUUAAUUUUAAUUUUAAUAGUAUGUUCCCACUCAUCAUAAAGUUUUCUAGGGAUAGAAACUUCCAACUCAAGUUUUUCUUCAUAAUAUUGCAUCAAAGCAUCAACGAUGUGUUUAGUAAAAGCUUUAUGUUGACUAUAAGCAUGUGGAGAAUUUAGCACGGAUUGCAACAAGGAAAUACAAUUUAUCAAAGAGCAAUUAUCAUAAUUAAAUUCCUUGAAAUCCAAAGUAGUGGGUUCAUUAAUAUCUAGAGUUUUGAUCUCUUCAAUCCCACUUUUACCAAUUUUUGCAUCAAGAUCUAAAAACUCCGAAUUUUUGGAACGCCUUCUAGGUAAAGGUGGAUCAUAUUCAAUCCCAUCAUUAUCAAGAUUCAUAUUGCAAAACAAAGAUUUAAUAGGGGACGGUUCAUUAAUAUCUAGAGUUUUGAUCUCUUCAAUCCCACUUUUACCAAUUUUUGCAUCAAGAUCUAAAAACUCCGAAUUUUUGGAACGCCUUCUAGGUAAAGGUGGAUCAUAUUCAGUCCCAUCAUUAUCAAGAUUCAUAUUGCAAAACAAAUAUUUAAUAGGGGACACAUGAAUAACUUUUAGAUCUUCAUCUUUAUUUUCAUAGAAACUAGAAGAACACGCUUUCACAAAGCAAUCUUUCUUAGCACGCAUCCUAGUGGUUCUUUCUUUGCACUCAUCAAUGGAAAUUCUCAUGGCUUUGAGAGACUCAUUGAUAUCAUGCUUAGGAGGAAUAGAUCUAAGUUUCUAAGAAUCAACAUCAAGAGAAAUUCUAUCAAUGUUCCUAGCCAAUUCUUCAACUUUAAGCAAUUUUUCUUCAAGCAAAGCAUUGAAAUUCUUUUGCGAAUUCAUAAACUCCUUAACACUAGUCUCAAAUUCAGAAGGCAUCUUAUUAAAAUUUCCAUAAUAAUUGUUGUAGGAAUUACCAUAAUUAUUAGAGUAAUUACUAGGAUACGGCCUAGGAUCAAAGUUUCCUCUAUACGCGUUGUUACCAAAAUUAUUCCUACCAACAAAAUUCACAUCCAUAGAUUCAUUAUUAUUCUCAAUCAAAGUAGACAAAGGCAUAUCAUUAGGAUCAGAAGAAACACUUUUAUUAGCAAAUAAUUUCAUAAGUUCAUCCAUCUUUCCACUCAAAACAUUAAUUUGUUCUACCGCAUGCACUUUUUUAUUAGUGGAUCUUUCAGUGUGCCAUUGAGAAUAAUUAACCAUAAUAUUAUCUAGGAGUUUAGUAGCUUUUCCUAAAGUGAUUUCCAUAAAAGUGCCUCCCGCGGCCGAAUCUAAAAGAUUUCUAGAAACAAAAUUCAAUCCGGCAUAAAAAAUUUGUAUAAUCAUCCACAAAUUCAAACCAUGUGUAGGGCAAUUGUGUAUCAUUAAUUUCAUCCUCUCCCAAGCUUGUACAACAUGUUCAUGAUCAAGUUGCUUAAAAUUCAUAAUAUCGUUUCUAAGAGAGAUGAUCUUAGAGGGAGGAAAAUACUUAGAGAUAAAAGCAUCUUUGCACUUAUUCUAAGAAUCAAUACUAUUUUUAGGCAAAGCCGAAAACCAAGCUUUAGCACGAUCUCUAAGCGAAAAAGGAAAUAGCUUCAAUUUAACAAUAUCAUUGUCCACAUCCUUCUUCUUUUGCAUAUCACACAAAUCAACGAAGCUAUUUAGAUGGGUAGCGGCAUCUUCACUAGGAAGGCCCGCGAAUUGAUCUUUCAUGACAAGAUUCAACAAAGCAGCAUUAAUUUCACAAGAUUCAGUAUUGGUAAGAGGAGCAAUGGAGUGCUAAGGAAAUCAUUGUUGUUGUUAUUGGUAAAGUCACACAAUUUGGUAUUAUCUUGAGCCAUCGUGACAAGCAAGCAAUCCAACACACGAGCAAACAAGAAGCAAGCGAAAAAGAGGCGAACGGAAAAGAGAGGGCGAAUAAAACGGCAAGGGUGAAGUGGGGGGGAGAAAAACGAGACGCAAAUGGCAAAUAAUGUAAUGCAGGAGAUAAGGGUUUGUGAUGGGUACUUGGUAUGUUGACUUUUGCGUAGACUCUCCGGCAACGGCGCGAGAAAUCCUUCUUGCUACCUCUUGAGCACUGCGUUGGUUUCCCUUGAAGAGGAAAGGGUGAUGCAGCAAAGUAGCGUAAGUAUUUCCCUCAGUUUUUGAGAACCAAGGUAUCAAUCCAGUAGGAGGCCACGCUCAAGUCCCUCGCACCUACACAAACAAAUAAAAACCUCGCAACCAACGCAAUAAAGGGGUUGUCAAUCCCUUCACGGUCACUUACGAGAGUGAGAUUUGAUAAGAUAAUAUUUUUGGUAUUUUUAUGAUAAAGAUGCAAAUUAAAAUAAAAGGCAAUAAAAAUAGCUAAGUGUUGGAAGAUUAAUAUGAUGGAAGAUAGACCCGAGGGCCAUAGGUUUCACUAGUGGCUUCUCUCGAGAGCAUAAGUAUUACGGUGGGUGAACAAAUUACUAUUGAGCAAUUGAUAGAAUUGAGCAUAGUUAUGAGAAUAUCUGGGUAUGAUCAUGUAUAUAGGCAUCACGUCCGCGACAAGUAGACCGACUCCUGCCUGCAUCUACUACUAUUACUCCACACAUCGACCGCUAUCCAGCAUGCAUCUAGAGUAUUAAGUUCGUAAGAACAGAGUAACGCUUUAAGUAAGAUGACAUGAUGUAGAGGGAUAAACUCAUACAAUAUGAGAUAAACCCCAUCUUGUUAUCCUCGAUGACAACAAUACAAUACGUGCCUUGCUGCCCCUACUGUCACUGGGAAAGGACACCGCAAGAUUGAACCCAAAGCUAAGCACUUCUCCCAUUGCAAGAAAGAUCAAUCUAGUAGGCCAAACCAUACUGAUAAUUCGAAGAGACUUGCAAAGAUAACCAAUCAUACAUAAAAUAAUUCAGAGAAAAUUCAAAUAUUGUUCAUAGAUAAACUUGAUCAUAAACCCACAAUUCAUCGGUCUCAACAAACACACCGCAAAAGAAGAUUACAUCGAAUAGAUGUCCACAAAAGAGGGGGAGAACAUUGUAUUGAGAUCCAAAAAGAGAGAAGAAGCCAUCUAGCUAAUAACUCUGGACCGGAAGGUCUGAGGUAAACUACUCACACAUCAUCGGAGAGGCUAUGGUGUUGAUGUAGAAGCCCUCUGUGAUCGAUGCCCCCUCCGGCGGAGCUCCGGAAAAGGCCCCAAGAUGGGAUCUCACGGGUACAGAAGGUUGCGGCGGUGGAAUUAGGUUUUUGGCUCCGUAUCUGGUAGUUUGGGGAUACGUAGGUAUAUAUAGGAGGAAGAAGUACGUCGGUGGAGCAACGUGGGGCCCACGAGGAUGGAGGGCGCGCCCAGGAGGGGUAGGCGCGCCCCCUACCUCGUGUCUUCCUGGUUGAUGUCUUGACGUAUGGUCCAAGUCCUCUGGAUCACGUUCAUUUCAAAAAUCAUGUUCCCGAAGGUUUCAUUCCGUUUGGACUCUGUUUGAUAUUCUUUUUUUGCGAAACUCUGAAAUAGGCAAAAAACAGCAAUUCUGGGCUGGGCCUCCGGUUAAUAGGUUAGUCCCAAAAAUAAUAUAAAAGUGUAUAAUAAAGCCCAUUAAUGUCCAAAACAGAAUAUAAUAUAGCAUGGAACAAUAAAAAAUUAUAGGUACGUUGGAGACGUAUCAACCACCCAAUGGCGACGUGGGCCCGUAAGACACACAACCAUGUUAGUAAAAGUUUUGUAGUGACUAGAUUCGACUUCGGCCAAGGAGUUGGAAGGGGGCUACCUACAGACAGUCGGCUCUGAUACCAACUUGUGACGCCCUCGAUUCAAUCGUACACUAAUCAUACACGCAAAUGCGUAUGAUCAAAAUCAAGGACUCACGGGAAGAUAUCACAACACAACUCUAGACACAAAUUAAAAUAAUACAAGCUUUAUAUUACAAGCCUGGGGCCUCGAGGGCUCGAAUACAUAAGCUCGAAUACACAAGAGUCAGCGGAAGCAACAAUAUCUGAGUACAGACAUAAGUUAGACAAGUUUGCCUUAAGAAGGCCAGCACAAAAGCAUCUACAAUCGAAAAGGCAAGGCCUCCUGCCUGGGAGCCUCCUAACUACUCCUGGUCGUCAGCGGUCUCCACGUAGUAGCAGGCAUCGGCGGUGGCAUCUGGCUCCUAGGCUCCGACAUCUGGUUGCAUCAACCGAAAACAAGAAGAAAGGGGGAAAAAGGGGAGCAAAGCAACCGUGGGUACUCAUCCAAAGUACUCGCAAGCAAGGAUCUACACUACAUAUGCAUCGGUAUCAAUGAAAUGGGCUAUAUCUGUGGACUGGACUGCAGAAUGCCAGAAGAGAAGGGGAAAGCCUAGCCUAUCGAAGACUAGCAUCUUCAAGCGUCUUGCAGCAUCAGAAGAGAUAAGAGUAGCAUAAAGUAAAGUAGUAGUAGUGUUAUCAACCUCGGCCAGAGAUCCCUUCUCGACUCCCUGCGAGAAAGCAAUCCCAGAGCCAUACUAUCCAAUUCUCAUCACAAGUAUCCAGUUCUAGUUGUAUCGAUCGGGAUACAACUCCAAGUGUUCGUUACCGUAGGACAGACUAUCGAUAGAUGUUUUCUUCCCUGCAGGGGUGCACCAACUUACCCACCACGCUCGAUUAACUCCGGCCGGACACACUUUCCUGGGUCAUGCCCGGCCUCGGCCAAACAAUACGCCGCAACCCGACCUAGGCUUAAUAGAGAGGUCAAGCACGCCGGACUAAACCUAUGCCCCCAGGGGUCAUGGGCCAUCGCCCCGGUAACUCCUACACGUUGCGAGGGCGGCCGGUGAGCAGACCUAGCUACCUCCUUAAAAAGGCAGGUGCUUACGCAGUCCAACCCGGCGCGCGCCGCUCAGUCGCUGACGUCUAUUAAGCUACGGCUGAUGCAUACGACACAGAACGCCCAUACUAUGCCCACGUGAUGGUUAGUGCUAUCAGGCCAGAGGCCCAUCGGAUCAAAUAUCCAAAUCGUAGCGGAUUAGGAACGCGCGGUAACAAGCAUAGACUUACGAAAGAUGUGACCCCGUCGCCCCGUCUCGAGGACAUGCGACAAGGGCUAAGAAUGCUCGGCCACGCCUUGUAAUUAUCUCGCGGGCACCCUCCAGGUCAACCCGACUCCUCAUCACUCGCAAAUAUGCUUGCGCGGGUACCCCUCAGGGCCGUCCCGUCUUUAGUAACAGGGUUCAGUGUAAAGUCAUAGUAACCAUAGUAACCGUGUGCCUAACACCAAGGGGAAAACCUGAGGAAUCACCCUUGACGGAUUCCACUCGAUGUAAUCAUCAAGGAGAACGUAAAAGGAUCCACCCUCGAGGUUCACACUUGAGGGGUUGCACGACAGAGUCGUAUCAGAAGUGGUUAAGAAGGAAAUCACCCUCGAUGACCACGACCGAAUAGCUACACUACAGAGAUCUCAUCAGGAGUGAUGUAUGAGGUUCCACCCUCGGCACUCGAUGGUAACUCUGUAGAGUCGAGCAACAAAAGGGGCGUGAUGUGAUGUGAGGUGUCGGGCUCUGGUCGUCGAUCACGCUGAUCAAGUCGUCGAUGACGAAGCAGGGGCAACAAGGACAACGUGGGGGUCACUGAUGGAUCACUAACCAACCUAUACUAAGCAGUUUAGGAUAAGCAGGUAAGGUACAAUAAGCAGGUUACAAAAGCAGGCUAUGCAUCAGAAUAGGGGCAAACAAUAACAGUAGCAAAAUCUAAUGCAAGUAUGAGAGAAUGGAAUGGGCGAUAUCGGAAUGAUCAAAGGGGGGGCUUGCCUGGAAGCUCUGCUGUAAAGUAAGAAGGGUCGUCGGAGACGUAGUCGAUCACAGGGGCAGCAUCGGUCUCGGGGUCUACCGAAGAGAAGAGGGGGAAGAAACAAUAAAUAUAAAGCAAACCAAGCAUCAUAAAGCUUAACAUGAUAAUACGCGGUGUUAGGGGUGAACUAACGCAGUGCUAGACUUAACAGACAAAGAGGGGAAACAUCCGAGGA